ACUCACUUGCAAACACCUUCACGACUCUAUUUUCCCUUUUUGAAAUAUCUUUCUAUACAUCUCUGCAACGAUGGGUGGUUGCUUCUCUGUCUCGUUGUCAUGUGAUCAAGCCGUGAAUCAGGUCUCUCAAUGUUUAUGUGUCAAACAGAGCUAUAUUCAUAACAUAGAAGAUAAUCUCUCAGCUUUGGAGACAACCAUGGAAGAUCUAAAGGCAAGGCGAGAUGAUUUGUCAAGAAGGGUGGACAGAGAGGAGAAUAACGGUCUAAGAAGACGUGCACAAGUCCAGAUCCAGAACAUUCAAGAAGAGCUUGCAACGAAACUAGGCUUGGCUGGAGAGGAUUGGAUCCUCAAAAAUGAACACCAAAAGGCGUGUGAGGUACAUAAUGUCCUAAGGAGAAAGAAGUUUUUGCUGUUGCUUGAUGACAUAUGGACUAAAGUUGAUCUAACGGAGAUUGGAGUCCCUUAUCCAAGUAGAAAAAACGGACGCAAAGUAGUUUUCACCACUCGUUCUCAAGAAGUGUGUGGCCGGAUGGGAGUUGAUGUUGAGAUGGAAGUCCAGUGCUUACAAUUUCAAGAUGCAUUUGAUUUGUUCAAAACGAAAGUUGGAGAGAUCACUUUAAGAAGUGAUCCAAACAUACAGAACCUUGCAUCUAUAGUUGCUAAAAAGUGUCAUGGUCUACCAUUAGCACUUAACGUCAUAGGUGAAGCCAUGGCAAGCAAACGUACGAUUCAAGAAUGGCAGCACGCUAUUGAUGUUUUGACUUCAUACGCUUCUGAAUUUUUCGGCAUGGAGGAUGAAAUUCUUCCUAUUUUAAAGUAUAGUUAUGAUAAUCUAAAGAGUGAACAUGUCAAAUCAUGUUUACUAUAUUGUGCUUUGUUUCCAGAAGAUCAUAGAAUUUCUAAACAUGGGUUGGUAGAGUAUAUGAUAUGCGAGGGGAUUAUAGAUGGAAGUGAAAGUAUGGAAAGAGCUCAGAACAAGGGUUAUGAGAUAAUAGGUAGCCUUAUCCGUGCAUCUUUGUUGAUGGAGGAUGAGAAGAAAGCUUUACGUGAAGUGUUUAUGCAUGAUGUUGUUCGUGAAAUGGCCUUGUGGAUUGCAUCUGAUUUUGGAAAGCAUAAAGAUAAUUUUAUCGUGCGUGCGGGUGUUGGGUUACAAGAACUACCAAGCGUUAAGAAUUGGAACGUUGUCAAGAGAAUGUCGUUGAUGUCUAAUAAGAUUGGGCGUGUUUCUGGCAGCGAUGGAUGUCUUGAACUCACAACUUUGUUCUUACAGAAAAACAAGAAGACGUUGGUAAGUAUCUCCGGUGAAUUCUUUAGGUUCAUGCCAAGGCUAGUUGUUUUGGAUCUAUCGUAUAAUAUAAACCUAUCUGAGUUGCCUGGUGAAAUAUCAGAGUUGGUCUCGUUGAAAUAUCUCAACAUGUCGUUUACAGGGAUUCAAUGUUUGCCUGUUGGUUUUCUAGAGUUGAAAAACCUUAUUCACUUGGAUCUGGAAGACACAAGUGAACUUUCGAGUAUUGUAGGGAUAUCUGCACUAGUGAACUUGAAAGUAUUGAGAUUACUACGUUUUAAUGUUUGGUGCAGUCCCAACACACUGGAGGAGUUACAAGUCUUGGAACAAUUAGAAAUCUUAACCAUAGGAAUCAUUUAUGGUUUAGCUCUCGAUCAGUUUUUCAGCUCUCACAAGCUUUAGCAGUCAAGAGUUGUCAAUUAAAAUCCUCUAAUAUAUCUCUUUUAAGUAGUAUGGAGAAAGUUCAUGAACUACUUUUAGAUGGGUGUACAUUUUCUGAUAUAAAGAUGGAUGUUCCAGAAAAUGCAUAUUUCAUGAACCUCUCUCGCAUUACUCUACAACAUUGCGAAUGCGUAAGAGACUUGACGUGGCUGAUGUUCGCUUCAAAUCUUACAGUGCUCUUUAUCUGCGAUGUGAAAGAAGUAGAAGGCAUAAUAAGCAAAGAGAAAGUUUAUGUCGGUGAAGAAUCAUCAGAUAUUGUUCCUUUCCAGAAACUAAGGACUCUACGUUUGAUUGACCUACCAGAGCUGAAAACAAUGUACUGGAGUUCUCUGCCAUUUCGUUGUCUUACGAAAAUUGUGGUAUUCAACUGUCCAAAGCUGAGAAAACUUCUCAAGUAAAGGGUGAGUCCCAUGCGUCAGUGGUGAGGUCUCAUAUUGACUAUCAUAAGAUCUUUUCCUGUAACUGGUCUCUUCAUGAGUUUUUCCUUGAUUCGUUCGGGUGGUGAAAGGGGAUUGUCAUAAAGUAUGGAGAGAAAAAGAAUGGUUAGAAGGAGUGGAAUGGGAGGACGAAGCUACCAAAGCCCGUUUCUUACCUUCAUGCAUACAACAGGUCUAACUAAUGUAUCUUCUCUUGUUUUGUUGUUUUAAUGUUUGUUUUUGGGUUAUCAAGUGGUUCAAUUGUCAUGACGAUUCGUUAAGUUUCCAUGACCAGUUGUUUCUUUACUGUUGUUGAAGCUAGGAGAUGAUAUAGUUUUUUUGGUAAUCAGAAUUGAGAAUACUAUCAAAGUUUUUGGUAAAGCUUCUAGGAUCUUCGUCA